rnacentral:rRNA from 1 species
UUGAACGCUGGCGGCAUGCCUUACACAUGCAAGUCGAACGGUAGAGGGGCAACCCUUGAGAGUGGCGAACGGGUGAGUAAUGCAUCGGAACGUGCCCAGUCGUGGGGGAUAACGCAGCGAAAGCUGUGCUAAUACCGCAUGUGAUCUGUGGAUGAAAGCAGGGGACCGCAAGGCCUUGUGCGAUUGGAGCGGCCGAUGUCAGAUUAGCUAGUUGGUAGGGUAAAAGCCUACCAAGGC